AUUGAACGCUGGCGGCAGGCCUAACACAUGCAAGUCGAGCGGAGCGGCGGACGGGUGAGUAAUGCCUAGGCAUCUGCCUGGUAGUGGGGGCUAACGUCCGGAAACGGGCGCUAAUACCGCAUACUAUCAGAUGAGUCUAGGUCGGAUUAUCUAGUUGGUGGGGUAAAGGCCUACCAAGGCGACGAUCCGUAACUGGUCUGCGAUGAUGAUCAGUCACACUGAGACUUGGACACGGUCCAGACUACUACGGGAGGCAGCAGUGGGGAAUAUUGUACAAUGGGCGAAGGCCUGAUCCAGCCAGUCCGCGUGUGUAAAGAAGGUCUUCGGAUUGUAAAGCACUUUAAGUUGGGAGGCGUUACCAACAGAAUAAGCACCGGCUUACUUCGUGCCAGCAGCCGCGGUAAUAC
rnacentral:rRNA from 1 species